rnacentral:rRNA from 1 species
GGCAGCCGCCGCGGUAACACCGACGGCCCGAGUGGUGAUCGUGAUUAUUGGGUCUAAAGGGUCCGUAGCCGGUUUGGUCAGUCCUCCGGGAAAUCUGAUAGCUCAACUAUUAGGCUUUCGGGGGAUACUGCCAGACUUGGAACCGGGAGAGGUAAGAGGUACUACAGGGGUAGGAGUGAAAUCUUGUAAUCCCUGUGGGACCACCUGUGGCGAAGGCGUCUUACCAGAACGGGUUCGACGGUGAGGGACGAAAGCUGGGGGCACGAACCGGAUUAGAUACCCGGGUAGUCCCAGCCGUAAACGAUGCUCGCUAGGUGUCAGGCAUGGCGCGACCGUGUCUGGUGCCGCAGGGAAGCCGUGAAGCGAGCCACCUGGGAAGUACGGCCGCAAGGCUGAAACUUAAAGGAAUUGGCGGGGGAGCACAACAACGGGUGGAGCCCUGCGGUUUAAUUGGACUCAACGCCGGACAACUCACCGGGGGCGACAGCAAUAUGUAGGCCAAGCUGAAGACUUUGCCUGAAUCGCUGAGGAGUGGUGCAUGG